GUGACAGAGAGAGACAGAGAGAGAAGUUGUCAGAGAAAGUGAGAGAGGUUGAAAGAAGUUCACAUGAGAGGAUAUCCUGGAGAGCUGUGGAGACCAGCAGAGAGAGGCACUAAAGACCAAGGGGGCGGCACACAUGAUCCAGAGUUCCAGGCUCAAGUCUCCAUUUCCAUAAAUGCACUUUUUUACUGAAAAAAAAAAACCUACAGAUCAACUUGCUCCAAUCGAUAUGAGGCCUGGAACCAGAGAGAACAGAUGGCUGUUUUUGAUAAACUGAAUGUAGGGACCGGAACCAUUGAGCGAGAGUGUCGACGCACAGAGUCCCACAGCUGAAGUGCUGGCAGACGUCAGCAGCCUCCAGAGAGUGUGUCGUUCCUGCGCUUGCUCCUUCCUGAGAGCUUCAAAGUGAAGGAGUUGCUGCUGUUGUUGUAUGUGUCGCAGGCUGCUCAUCGACUCACUCACACAUUCCAGUGCCUACUGACAGAAAAGUUGGUGUAUAAGUAGAGUGCUGUGUCCCAUACACAGGCACAACCAGCGUAAUUACCCACUGUUCACCCGGUCUCUUCACUCCCAAGAUGAUGCCUGACCAUGUCCCCUCUGCCACAAACAACUUUAAGCAUAAGCCCUGGAGUGACUGUGGGCCCAGUUAGGAGAAAUAAGCCCACCUACAACAGCAUAACUACUCUAGAUGGGAACUGCAAGACUUCAUUUUUAUAUACUUACUCUACUUGAGCAUUUCACAUUUCAACAGUCUGCAGAAAGAGAAAUAUAGUUCCUUUGUUUUGGCAAGACUUUCUAAAUAAAGCAGAAGCUAUCUCUGA